rnacentral:rRNA from 2 species
AGAGGUUGAUCGGCCACAUUGGGACUGAGACACGGCCCAAACUAAUACGGGAGGCAGCAGUAGGGAAUCUUCCACAAUGGACGCAAGUCUGAUGGAGCAACGCCGCGUGAGUGAAGAAGGCUUUCGGGUCGUAAAACUCUGUUGUUGGAGAAGAAUGGUCGGCAGAGUAACUGUUGUCGGCGUGACGGUAUCCAACCAGAAAGCCACGGCUAACUACGUGCCAGCAGCCGCGGUAAUACGUAGGUGGCAAGCGUUAUCCGGAUUUAUUGGGCGUAAAGCGAGCGCAGGCGGUUUUUUAAGUCUGAUGUGAAAGCCCUCGGCUUAACCGAGGAAGCGCAUCGGAAACUGGGAAACUUGAGUGCAGAAGAGGACAGUGGAACUCCAUGUGUAGCGGUGAAAUGCGUAGAUAUAUGGAAGAACACCAGUGGCGAAGGCGGCUGUCUGGUCUGUAACUGACGCUGAGGCUCGAAAGCAUGGGUAGCGAACAGGAUUAGAUACC